UGACGACGAGACGCUAAGGCGUUGAAGCAGUGUACGUCAGACUUCCAAGAAAAGCUCGCAAUGUCAUAGAUAAAAAAUGCCUGUACCAUAACCGACACAGGUGGGUAGGUAGAGUAUACUAAGGGGCGCGAGAUAACUCUCUCUAAGGAACUCGGCAAAAUGACUCCGUAACUUCGGGAGAAGGAGUGCCUUAUUUAUAAGGUUGCAAUAACAAGAUCCAAGCAACUGUUUAUCAAAAACACAGGUCUCCGCUAAGUCGUAAGACGAUGUAUGGGGGCUGACGCCUGCCCAGUGCCAGAAGGUUAAAGAAGUUGGUUAGUGUAUGCGAAGCUGAUGACUGAAGCCCUGGUGAACGGCGGCCGUAACUAUAACGGUCCUAAGGUAGCGAAAUUCCUUGUCGGGUAAGUUCCGACCCGCACGAAAGGCGUAAUGAUUUGGAUACUGUCUCGGAGAGAGGCUCGGUGAAAUAGACUUGUCUGUGAAGAUGCGGACUACCUGCACCAGGACAGAAAGACCCUAUGAAGCUUUACUGUAACUUGAAAUUGGAAUUGGACUUUGCUUGCGCAGUAUAGGUGGGAAGCGUUGAAGAUAUUCUUGCGGGAGUAUUGGAGCUAUCAGUGAGAUACCACUCUUGUAAUGUUAGAUUUCUAACUUUGAACCAUAAUCUGGUCAAAGAACAGUUUCAGGUGGGCAGUUUGACUGGGGCGGUCGCCUCCCAAAUGGUAACGGAGGCGUACAAAGGUUUCCUCUGAACGGAUAGAAAUCGUAUCUAGAGUGUAAAGGCAUAAGGAAGCUUGACUGUGAGACCUACAAGUCGAGCAGGGACGAAAGUCGGUCUUAGUGAUCUGACGGUACUGAGUGGAAAGGCCGUCACUCAACGGAUAAAAGUUACUCUAAGGAUAACAGGCUGAUCUCCCCCAAGAGUUCACAUCGACGGGGAGGUUUGGCACCUCGAUGUCGGCUCAUCGCAUCCUGGGGCGGUAGUACGUCCCAAGGGUUGGGCUGUUCGCCCAUGAAAGCGGUACGCGAGCUGGGUUCAGAACGUCGUGAGACAGUUCGGUCCAUAUCCGGUGUAGGCGUUAGAAUAUUGAGAGGAGCCUUCUUUAGUACGAGAGGACCGAGAAGGACACACCGCUGGUGUACCAGUUAUCGUGCCAACGGUAAACGCUGGGUAGCUAUGUGUGGAGUGGAUAACCGCUGAAAGCAUCUAAGUGGGAAGCCCACCUCAAGAUGAGUAUUCACAAAAAAAGGAAAAAAGAAGAAGAUAGAGCGACAGGCAAGUUAAGGCGAACCGUAUCGGAAACCAUCUUCAUCUUUGCCCCCCUAGAUCGGAAGAGCACACGUCUGAACUC
rnacentral:rRNA from 1 species